AGUCCUUUUUAAGUUGUGUUCUCCUCUCGAAGUCGAAGCCGUGAAACGAAGGCGGCAGCUUGCUUUUUGUCCUUUUCGUUUCGGAUUACACGGAGGGCAGCCUCCAUGACCACCUCCCUCGGAGCCGCCCCGAAGCUCCCCUUCUCUCCCUCCGCCCUCCACAACCUCGCCAGAAAGCUCCCCAUCUCCCCCUUUCUCCUAUCCCCAGGACCCUUCUCCUCUAAAACCCUCAGCUUCGGUUUUCUUCUCUCCCCUCGCUUGCGCUCUUCUUCUUCUUCUUCCUUUCUCCCCCGCCGUCGGUUCGCCGCGCGCGCCGGCGCCAGCACCGACAACGGAGCCGCGGGGGAGCUCCGACGCUAUGAUUUUGAUCUCUUCACUAUUGGCGCCGGCAGUGGCGGGGUCCGGGCCUCUCGCUUCGCCGCCAACUAUGGUGCUUCUGUGGCCAUUUGCGAGCUCCCCUUCGCCACGAUAUCUUCCGACCUUGCCGGUGGUGUCGGAGGAACCUGUGUGCUCCGUGGAUGUGUUCCAAAGAAAUUGCUGGUUUAUUCAUCCAAGUACUCCCAUGAAUUUGAAGAGAGUCGCGGUUUUGGAUGGACCUAUGAAGCUGAUCCGAAGCAUGACUGGAGCACCUUGAUGGCCAACAAAAAUGCCGAGUUGCAGCGCCUCACUGGGAUUUACAAAAAUAUUUUGAAGAAUGCUGGGGUGGCAUUAAUUGAAGGUCGUGGAAAGAUAAUUGACCCACAUACUGUUGAGGUAGAUGGGAAACUCUACUCUGCUAGGCACAUACUUCUUUCAGUUGGUGGACGACCCUUCCUGCCAGACAUUCCUGGAAAGGAGUAUGCCAUUGACUCAGAUGCUGCUUUAGAUUUACCUUCAAAACCUGAAAAGAUUGCAAUAGUAGGAGGAGGCUACAUUGCUUUAGAGUUUGCUGGCAUCUUCAAUGGAUUAACAAGUGAUGUUCAUGUUUUUAUCCGGCAAAAAAAAGUGCUAAGAGGCUUUGAUGAGGAGAUCAGAGACUUUGUUGCAGAACAAAUGUCUCUUAGGGGUAUUGAAUUUCAUACCGAACAGUCUCCUCAGGCAAUCCUUAAAUCAGCAGAUGGUUCACUAUCACUGAAAACUAACAAGGGAACUGUUGAUGGUUUCUCACAUGUAAUGUUUGCAACAGGUCGAAGACCAAAUACAAAGAACCUGGGACUGGAGGAGCUUGGAGUGGAAUUGGCCAAGAACGGAGCAAUAUUGGUUGAUGAAUACUCUCGGACAUCAGUUGAUUCCAUCUGGGCUGUUGGAGAUGUUACUGAUAGGAUAAACCUCACUCCAGUUGCAUUGAUGGAAGGAGGGGCAUUUGCAAAAACGGUAUUUGGCAGUGAACCUACAAAACCAGAUUACAGAGCGGUGCCAUCUGCUGUGUUUUCUCAGCCACCUAUUGGAUCUGUCGGUCCUACUGAGGAGCAGGCAAUUCAAGAAUAUGGGGAUGUCGAUAUCUACACAGCUAACUUCAGGCCUCUGAAGGCCACUCUCUCUGGUCUUCCUGAUCGUGUAUUUAUGAAAAUUAUCGUUUGUGCAAGCACGAACAAAGUUUUAGGAGUGCACAUGUGUGGGGAGGAUUCCCCAGAGAUUAUCCAGGGGAUUGCUAUUGCUGUCAAGGCUGGACUUACAAAGGCAGAUUUUGAUGCCACAGUUGGUAUCCACCCUACAUCUGCAGAGGAAUUUGUCACAAUGAGGACUCCAACUCGAAAAAUUCGGAGUUCUUCCUCUAGCGAGGAAAAGGCUGAUGAUGGGAUCAAGUCAGCAGUAGAUGUUUAGAACCUUUACGGCAAAAAGAUAGAAAGAACUUUGGAUUCGAAGGUAUCAAGAUAUUCGCUAUUGAGGGACUACAGGAAAUCUGUCAUUUGGACACUCUUUCUGCAAUCAAGUUCAGAGCUUUCUUCUCCUCAUUUCUUGAUAGAAAUAAAAAUUCAUCAUAUUUUAUGUACAUACAGAGCUCUCUCUCUCUGGAGAAUAUUUAUAGUGCAACCGUUGGAUUGUGCAUCACACAGUUCUCAAAGCACUCUGAACUCCAUCUUUCAUCCGCCUGCAGAGAUCUCAUAGUGGCCAUUGCAUGAUUUAACGGUGUAUAUUGCGAAAAAAGGUAAAUCAUUCUUUCGGGUGAAAUAUACAAUGCAAAACCUUUGUUUUGUCUAUUUAAUUCCCUUGAGGAGCCCUAUAUAUUUUGCUGUUAUGUGGGCCGAUCAAAUUUGCAGACAUGAAAAUUCAUUAUUUUCACUCUUUUAUGACAUUCUAGUUUUCAA